AGUGAACGCUGGCGGCAGGCCUAAUACAUGCAAGUCGAACGGCAGCACAGCAGAGCUUGCUCUGUGGGUGGCGAGUGGCGGACGGGUGAGGAAUACAUGGGAAUCUGCCCAGUCGUGGGGGAUAACGUAGGGAAACUUACGCUAAUACCGCAUGCGCCCUUCGGGGAAAGCCGGGGAACCUUCGGGCCUGGCGCGAUUGGAUGAGCCAGGUCGGAUUAGCUAGUUGGCGGGGUAAUGGCCCACCAAGGCGACGAUCCGUAGCUGGUCUGAGAGGAUGAUCAGCCACACUGGAACUGAGACACGGUCCAGACUCCUACGGGAGCAGCAGUAGGGAAUAUUGGACAAUGGGCGCAAGCCUGAUCCAGCCAUGCCGCGUGAGUGAAGAAGGCCCUCGGGUUGUAAAGC
rnacentral:rRNA from 1 species